AGAGUUUGAUCCUGGCUCAGGACGAACGCUGGCGGCGUGCCUAAUACAUGCAAGUAGAACGCUGAAGAGAGGAGCUUGCUCUUCUUGGAUGAGUUGCGAACGGGUGAGUAACGCGUAGGUAACCUGCCUUGUAGCGGGGGAUAACUAUUGGAAACGAUAGCUAAUACCGCAUAACAAUGGAUGACACAUGUCAUUUAUUUGAAAGGGGCAAUUGCUCCACUACAAGAUGGACCUGCGUUGUAUUAGCUAGUAGGUGAGGUAAUGGCUCACCUAGGCGACGAUACAUAGCCGACCUGAGAGGGUGAUCGGCCACACUGGGACUGAGACACGGCCCAGACUCCUACGGGAGGCAGCAGUAGGGAAUCUUCGGCAAUGGGGGCAACCCUGACCGAGCAACGCCGCGUGAGUGAAGAAGGUUUUCGGAUCGUAAAGCUCUGUUGUAAGUCAAGAACGGGUGUGAGAGUGGAAAGUUCACACUGUGACGGUAGCUUACCAGAAAGGGACGGCUAACUACGUGCCAGCAGCCGCGGUAAUACGUAGGUCCCGAGCGUUGUCCGGAUUUAUUGGGCGUAAAGCGAGCGCAGGCGGUUUGAUAAGUCUGAAGUUAAAGGCUGUGGCUCAACCAUAGUUCGCUUUGGAAACUGUCAAACUUGAGUGCAGAAGGGGAGAGUGGAAUUCCAUGUGUAGCGGUGAAAUGCGUAGAUAUAUGGAGGAACACCGGUGGCGAAAGCGGCUCUCUGGUCUGUAACUGACGCUGAGGCUCGAAAGCGUGGGGAGCGAACAGGAUUAGAUACCCUGGUAGUCCACGCCGUAAACGAUGAGUGCUAGGUGUUGGAUCCUUUCCGGGAUUCAGUGCCGCAGCUAACGCAUUAAGCACUCCGCCUGGGGAGUACGACCGCAAGGUUGAAACUCAAAGGAAUUGACGGGGGCCCGCACAAGCGGUGGAGCAUGUGGUUUAAUUCGAAGCAACGCGAAGAACCUUACCAGGUCUUGACAUCCCGAUGACCGGCCCGUAACGGGGCCUUCUCUUCGGAGCAUUGGAGACAGGUGGUGCAUGGUUGUCGUCAGCUCGUGUCGUGAGAUGUUGGGUUAAGUCCCGCAACGAGCGCAACCCCUAUUGUUAGUUGCCAUCAUUCAGUUGGGCACUCUAGCGAGACUGCCGGUAAUAAACCGGAGGAAGGUGGGGAUGACGUCAAAUCAUCAUGCCCCUUAUGACCUGGGCUACACACGUGCUACAAUGGUUGGUACAACGAGUUGCGAGUCGGUGACGGCGAGCUAAUCUCUUAAAGCCAAUCUCAGUUCGGAUUGUAGGCUGCAACUCGCCUACAUGAAGUCGGAAUCGCUAGUAAUCGCGGAUCAGCACGCCGCGGUGAAUACGUUCCCGGGCCUUGUACACACCGCCCGUCACACCACGAGAGUUUGUAACACCCGAAGUCGGUGAGGUAACCUUUUGGAGCCAGCCGCCUAAGGUGGGACAGAUGAUUGGGGUGAAGUCGUAACAAGUUAGCCGUAUCGGAAGGUGCGGCUG
rnacentral:rRNA from 1 species